GAUUGCAAUUAUUUGCCGCUUGCGAUGACGAUUUGCAGGAGAUGUUGCGAUUAUUUGCCGUUUGCAAUCGCGAUUUGUGAUAUAUAUUGAAUAUCGCAGCGGUGGUGGGGACGUCURCUGGGAAUUAAAGCCCAGAGCCUGGUGGGAUCUGUCUCACCUUGCUUCGGGGACCUUGGUCCAAGGGAACGGCUUUAGGCGGCGCAAAACCCAACGGCGGCCUCUUGCAUCCGUCCGUCCCUCCAGGUCAACGGCAUCUUCACGCGCCCGCCGGCCGCCGUCUCCAAAGCCGCCUCGCUGAGCGUCGCGGGGGGCAACCUCACCGUCUCCCACUCCUCCGGCCUCCGGGUGCUCUUCAGCCCCGGCGGCGAGGUGACGGUGACCGUCGGCGCCCAGCUGGCCGGCCGGCUCUGCGCGCCCUGCGGCGACUUCAACGGCGACGCCGGCGACGACCUGGUGCUGCCCGACGGCCGGGCUGCCCGCAGCCUCGCCGAGGUGGUGGACGCCUGGAGAGCCAAGGACUUCGCCGGAUGCGACUGACGCUCAAAACCGAGGAAAUUACGCCCGUAAGUGGCUCUUCCCACCUCCGCGUUCACACCCCGAGCUACGAAUUCGGCCAGAGGAACCCUCCCCAUUAAAUUCCCCCCGCCCCCAAGCUGGGUUUUUCCCAUGCCGAGGCCGGACCAGCGAUGGGACGACCGUUAGAGACGUGCGUAUGGAGAGCAGACGCCCAACACAUCGGCUUGGCCCUAAAACGCCCUUAAAAAAGUCCCGUUUUGGCCCUAAUCCAGAAGUUCGCUUUACCAAAAACAGGGAAAGCAGGCCACCAUCUAGCAGAAACAGCUUGGCGCCAUUUUGCGGGGUCUCUUCUGCUUCGCCCUYCUGCUCAGCCCCUCUGACCCCCAUGAGAAGCAACGAGGAGGCAAAAUAAUGGGACUAAAACAGGCAGAUUUGGUCCUUGCCCUCAAUAUCCAAAGAAAUAGUGAAAUUGGGGCUGGUCCACCACGACUAGGUGGUCAUCCGUGGGACGUCUCAGCCCGAGGGUGGUGGGAUUCAUCUUCAUUGAGACCUCAACGUUGGAGCUAAGCUCUACGGGUGGCCCAUGUAGCUCAUGGAGAUAAGUAGAGGYUUUGGGAGAAGCACACAGGUGAGGAGAUCCGGAGAUGCCCAAAGCCUUCUCCUGGGAAUAGGGCGAUCCCGGAGGACCUCCCUCAGCUAGGAAGCGUGGCGUGCCAGCGUUCAGAUGAGCUUCACCCCGUUUAAUCCAUGCAUCAGAAGCUCGGGAGGAGYUUCACACCUCUGGCCAGAUGUUUUGGACCUCGACAGCUCCGUUGAGUCCACCUCGGACAUCUGC
rnacentral:lncRNA from 1 species